rnacentral:lncRNA from 1 species
CGAGGUCAGGAGAUUGGGACCAACCUGGCAAACAGGGUGAAACCCUGUCUCUACUAAAAAUACAAAAUACAAAAAAAAUCAGCCUGGCAUGGUGGCGGGCGCCUGUGGUCCCAGCUACUCUGGAGGCUGACGCAGGAGAAUGCCGUGAACCCGGGAGGCGGAGCUUGCAGAGAGCCGGAGAUCACGCCACUGCACUCCAGCCUGGGCUACAGAGCAAGACUCCGUCUCAAAAAAAACCAAAACAAAACAAAACAAAAAAAACACCCAGUUUUUCCAUGGAGUGAUAGAAUUUAAUUGAUGAGCUUGACGAGCUUAAUUACAGAAGGGAGAGCUCCAAAAUACAUGAUCCAGCAUUUGUGAAAAUCACAGAAGAUCAUAUGAGAAGGCACCAUUUUAAUGAAAGAACAAGAAACCUGAAAUUCAAUAACAAAGCCUGAAGGCUAGAAAAGGUUAUGAAAUAGCCCAUGAUAAGCACAGGUGGAAAAUUGACACAAAGAGUUUUCUGCUAUGCCAAAUAAAUUUUGUUGUCUUUGUGUGUGUGUAUGCUGCGUAUCUUAAAACCAUAACAUUUUCACUGACAUUGAAUCAUCCUCCUCAGUAACUGAGGGAAACUUCCUUGGGAACCCACCUUAAAUUUUACCAUCUUUGGCAGCUUUUGAAAUGACUCUAUCUUCAAAUUCUUGAAUUUCCACAUUCUCUUCUCUGACUUUACCUUUGAUUAUUUUGCUCUCAGUAAAUCUGCAUCUCAGUCUUCCUCUUCUCAGUUCUAUCCUAGUGUACCAGCCCAUUAACCCCUGUUUGAUUUUAUUUGGCUCUCUUCCUCCAUGGGGCUACACGUAAGCCUCAUGCUCAUUGUAGUCCCUGUCUCUCUUCAACACUGGUAUCUUACCACCUCUCCAUAACUUCCCACUAUUUCUUUCUUGCCAAUCAUCAACCCUGUGUAAUAUCUACUGUCUUAUUUUCUUUGACGCUAGAAAUCAAGGCCCUGAUGGUCAAAGGCAUUAAACAAUCUAUGGGUUUGCCAUAAGUGCAUUAUGUGGUUUAUUAUUUUGCAGAUAUUUAAUGUGGUACAUGAUAAAAUGUUACUUUUUCUACUAAUCUUAUUUAUGUAGCCGAAAAUCUAGAAAAAUGUUUUUCUU